CCCUGGUUAGCUCAGUUGGUAGAGUGUUGCACUGAAAAUGGAGAGGUCCCGACUUCGAUACCCGGACCAGGCG
rnacentral:tRNA from 1 species